rnacentral:tRNA from 1 species
GAGGGUAUAGCUCAAGUGGUAGAGCACAUGCUUAGCAUGCACAAGGUUCUGGGUUCAAUCCACAGUAUCUCCU